GAACGAGACCUUCGGGUCUAGUGGCGCACGGGUGCGUAACGCGUGGGAAUCUGCCCUGGGGUACGGAAUAACUCAGAGAAAUUUGAGCUAAUACCGUAUGAUGACGUAAGUCCAAAGAUUUAUCGCCCUGGGAUGAGCCCGCGUAGGAUUAGCUUGUUGGUGAGGUAAAGGCUCACCAAGGCGACGAUCCUUAGCUGGUCUGAGAGGAUGAUCAGCCACACUGGGACUGAGACACGGCCCAGACUCCUACGGGAGGCAGCAGUGGGGAAUAUUGGACAAUGGGCGAAAGCCUGAUCCAGCAAUGCCGCGUGAGUGAUGAAGGCCUUAGGGUUGUAAAGCUCUUUUACCCGGGAAGAUAAUGACUGUACCGGGAGAAUAAGCUCCGGCUAACUCCGUG
rnacentral:rRNA from 1 species